GAAAAGUGGGGAAAGAAGAAAAACGUGGAAGAGAAAAUAAGAGAAAAGGAGAGAAAAGAAGAAGAGAAAGAGGAAGAGGAAAGCUCGGAGAAAGAAGAAGAAACUCAUGAAAGAUCAUCAUCAUCUCCAAUAUUUCAUCUUCAUCUCAUCAAGGUGAGUUCCUAGUUAUAUUAGUCUUAGGUGGGAGAAAUUUAUGUGUGGGAAAUUAGAGUUUUGUGUUAUUGUUGUUGUUUGAUCAUGACAUGAUGAAAUUGUUGUUGUUCUCACUUCUAUGUAAUAUUCCUUGACCUCUAUAUAUUGCUUGAUGUUGUUUUGGUGUGUCUGAGGUUGUGUUGAUGUUAUUAGAAUAUAUGGAGAAACUAUGUUAUUGUUGUUAUUGUUGUGUCAUACCAUGGUAUUUGGUGUUGUUGUAUCCAAUAUGAUGAUGCAUGUUGGUUGUGAUGGUGUUUUUCUUCAUCCAAACAUGUCAUGUUAGUGUCCUAAUACUGUCACGUUUGCCAGAAGUUUGCUAAGCAAAAAGGGGAAUUCUACUACUGACUUGGUUCGCUAGGAGUUCGCUCAGCGAAGUGUGUUCUCUAAAAGUCCACUAAGCGAACUUCACAGCAUUGAGAAAAUGCUUUGGUUCUCAUUUUCACCAUAACUCGAGAAUCGUAACUUCGAUUAACGCAUAGUCGAAUACGUUGGAAAGCUUGUUUACAACUCUAUCUAAUGAUGAUGCUUAAUUGCAUGAUUUAUUUUGGUGAAUGGAUUAUACUUAUCUUUUCUUAUGUGUGUUUAUUAAUGUUUGAUGAGAUAUGAUUAACCAUGCUAAGAAUUGUAUUACAAAUUAUUGGUUGUGUUGCUUGCUUGUAUGUAUAACAUGAUUAAAAGCCUAUGAUGACGAGUGAGGAAACACUAGGAGAGUAACUCGAUUAAUGACUUAGAAAGCUAACUUAGGUUGUGAAAUGGCUUAAAUGGUGAUGCUUGGACACAAAGGCACCUCGGCGUGUAUCGCAGAAAAGUAGUCGUUUGGUUAACGAAUCAAUAUGCAUUAUAUGGAACAUGUGGAAUAAUAUAUGUGAAUGGAUAGAUAUGAUCACUUGGUAUUUGAUGGAUAACUGUAACUCUGUUAAGCGUAUUCCAUGCAGUGGAAGUUUGGACUCCGUUGACAAUAUAUAUUGGAUGAUGAAAUCUAUAUAGUGGAAGCUUGGUAUCCAUUGGCCAUAUCAGGUGGAAAGGUCUUGGUUCAUUCCGUUUUAGUUGAGGUUUAGCAUCCAUUGACCAUAUCUGAUGGCGAGUGUAAAC
rnacentral:lncRNA from 1 species